rnacentral:tRNA from 1 species
GCCUGAGUGGCUCAGUAGGUAGAGUGUCUGACUUUGGCUCAGAUCAUGAUCUCACAGGUCGUGAGUUCGAGCCCUGCGUCAGGCU